GGCGAGCAAAAGCGGUAUAGACUACUUUUAAAAACUAUAAUAAGUAAUAUGUUUAAGAUUUAAAAGCCAAAGAAGGUAACAUAAAGUAUAUAAACAGCCCUGUAAAACAUAUACUAAAAUUUUAAAAUACAAAGUAAAACGAUACAAGUCGUGUAUUGUUUCAACAAUGGGGUCCCACCCUCAAAGUCUAAAAGAUUUUAACGAUUGAUAGCGAAUAGUACCGUAAGGGAAAGGUGAAAUAGAAUUUUCGAAUUUGAAAAGAACUUGAAAUUUAAUGUUUAUAAUCAGUUGUAGCUUUA
rnacentral:rRNA from 1 species